UACGUAGGGGGCGAGCGUUGUCCGGAAUCAUUGGGCGUAAAGCGCGUGUAGGCGGCUCGAUAAGUCCGGUGUGAAACCUUGGGGCUCAACCCCAAGCCUGCACUGGAUACUGCCGAGCUAGAGUCCGGGAGGGGAGAGCGGAAUUCCUAGUGUAGCGGUGAAAUGCGCAGAUAUCAGGAGGAACACCAGCGGCGAAGGCGGCGCUCUGGGCCGGUACUGACACUGAGGAGCGAAAGCGUGGGUAGCAAACAGG
rnacentral:rRNA from 1 species